UCGUGAAUUUAUUCCCUUUAAUCUAUUUUGCACUCCUGUCGUUUUUUGUAUGUUAGUUGAACUUCUUUCACACCGUGCAUAGCCAACCAUGUUUGUUUUUGUAACUUUCUGACCCGCCCCGACCGGACACCUGUAACAUUCCUCCAGAAGACAGAUUCUGAUUUUAAAGAUUCUGAUCUUAACACCUGUAUUAUUUCCAAAAAGGUUAAAGCCUUUUCUUCUUUCAUCAAAAUAGUUGUAUCAUACAUUUAAACCAGGGGUGUCCAAACUACGGCCCGCGGACCAACUGCGGCCCUCCAUCCAUUUUUAAUUGGCCCGUAUCAAAGUCUUAAAAUAUAAUGGACUAUGGCCCACUGUAUUGCACUUCUUAGUUAAAAAACUGGGUGGCGCUAUUGUCUUGAGCAAGGCAGCGUUUCCACAAAGCAAGCAAUCGAAGAAAAAAUUUGCUCGGUCACCAGAAAUGCUGGAACCGAAGAGACGCAAGAUUGCAAGCAAGUGCAGAAAAUUUCAGACUCGGAAAAAUGAAUAUUUUUUCAUAGAAACCAAGGGGAAGUGUGUUUGUUUGAUUUGUAAUGAGAGUGUUGCCGUGAUGAAAGUACAAUGUACGACGGCAUUAUGAAACGAAACAUCAGUCCUUCACGUCCUACACUGACGCCGAGCGGAAAGAGAAGGUAAAGCAAAUGGCAGCUAGCCUGCUAACAGCAAGUGUCAGAUAAAGCUUGUGCUUUCGAUUUUUACUCGAUUGCAUGUGAUGAGAGCACAGAUGCCACGGACACUGAACAGCUGUUAAUUUUUUUGCGGGGAGUUGAUGAUAAUUUUUGCAUUACGGAGGAACUGCUCGAUCUUCAGAGUCUAAAGGGGACAACAACUGGGAAGAACAUGUUUGAAGCUGUGUCAGAUGCAAUUGACCAGGCUGGACUUAAAUGGGACAAGCUGUGUGGAAUUACAACGGAUGGGGCUCCAGCAAUGACAGGCGAGCGCAAAGGAAUGGCCUCUAUGGUGAGUGCCAAGGUGCGGGAGAGCGGAGGUGAGGCUGUCAAAAUGCACUAUCAUCCACCAAGAAGCCCUCUGUGCCAAGAUAAUCCAACUUGGCGAUGUGAUGAACACAGCUGUGAAAACUGUCAACAAUUCGGGCACGAGGGCUUUACCACAGAGAAUUUCAAGCGUUCCUCUCUGAUGUUGAUGCCGAAUACGGGGACCUACUCUACCAUUCUGAAGUGCGCUGGCUCAGUCGCUGCUCCGUGCUGCAGCGAUUUUAUUCCCUGAGAUCAAAUAUCGACAAGUUUUUGAAAGAAAAGGGCAGACCUCUCCAUGACAUCAGUGACCCUUUAUGAUUGGCAGACCUGGCUUUUUUAGUUGAUCUCACUGAUCAUCUCAACGCCCUGAACAAGAGACUACAAGGCAAAGAGCAGCUGGUACCACAGCUGUAUACGCACAUGAAAGCAUUCCGUGCGAAGCUCCGUCUCUUCGAGUCACAACUGCGCAACUUCAAUGUAGCGCACUUCCCCACGCUGACCGAAAUCAAAUGCACAUUUCCAAAUGCCAAGCUCUCUGCAAAAAUGGGAGAAUGUGUCUGUGAUCACAUCUUUCAUGACAGAAUUCAGUCAGCGCUUCCAAGAUUUUUCUGUCAUUGAGAAGGAAAUCACACUGUUUGCGGGUCCGUUUUCAAUGGAUGCAGAAGAAGUGGAGGAGAGUCUGCAAUUAGAACUGAUCGAAAUUCAGUGUGAUGAAUCUCUGAAGAAUCAGCAUCAGCUUCUCUCCCUACCUGACUUCUACCAGAGCUUGGAAAAGGCCAAGUUUCCUCUGAUGAGACGCCACGCAAAACUAAUAAUGAGUCUGUUCGGCUCAACAUACAUCUGUGAGCAGACAUUCUCUCUUAACGCUGAACAAAAGCAGACUGAGAACCAGAACGACCGACAGCCAUCACCGUGACUUCCUUCGCAUCUCAACCACCAAACUUACUCCUGACCUGCCAGCUAUCCUUCAGACCAAAGCGCAGCAUCACUGCUCCCACUGAGCGCAAUAUUCUUCCCAUUACAGGACAAUGAAGGUGGAUCAGCACCCUAAGAACCAAUCUGAGGCUGUCACUGAGAGAAUGACCUGCCAACCUUUUUGUAAAAAAAAAUGAAAAUGUACUCAUGGAGUGCUAUGAUGGAGCCUUUUUUUUCUUCAAAUAUGUUCAAUUAUCAAACGUAAUUUAACUGCAUUUCAUUGAUUUUGCCAAUAUUAGUGCAUGAGAAGUGAGGCAGUAUACCUCACGUCUAGUGAGUGGCCCAGUCCUUCGUAUAUUUUUCUGUAUGUGACCCUCGGGA